rnacentral:lncRNA from 1 species
UAGCUUUGAAACAAUGAUAAUGAAAGUUUUUUCAUCGUUCUAAAUUUAUGCUACAGUUAUGGUCGUAAAAGAUUAAGAAAAAUCUUAUGGGUGCAAUUAUUCCACUGACACCUGCGAAAUUACCAAAAGAACUGACCAUCGCUGUUUAUUGUAUUUUUUUAAAUGUUCUAGUUAAACAAUCUAACACUUAA